rnacentral:rRNA from 1 species
AGCCCAACAGCUAGCCCACCUAAUUAAUUUCAUCAUAAACACAUUACUACCCCCUAAAGCACUAAUACCAAUAAACAAACCAUUUUUCCCCUCUAGUAUGGGAGACAGAAAAAG